GGACGACCCGAUGCCCUUUCAACGUCGCACCGCUGUGAGCAGAGCGAGCAGUGCAAUGUUGAAAAAGGGCAUCGGUUCGGUU
rnacentral:pre_miRNA from 1 species